rnacentral:rRNA from 1 species
UACGAAGGGGGCUAGCGUUGCUCGGAAUCACUGGGCGUAAAGGGUGCGUAGGCGGGUCUUUAAGUCAGGGGUGAAAUCCUGGAGCUCAACUCCAGAACUGCCUUUGAUACUGAGGAUCUUGAGUUCGGGAGAGGUGAGUGGAACUGCGAGUGUAGAGGUGAAAUUCGUAGAUAUCGAGAGGAACACCGGUGGCGAAGGCGGCCAACUGGACGAAUACUGACGCUGAGACACGAAAGCGUGGGGA